GAAUAUUGGGCAAUGGGCGAAAGCCUGACCCAGCCACGCCGCGUGAGUGAUGAAGGCCUUCGGGUCGUAAAGCUCUGUGGGGAGGGACGAACAAGGUGCGGGCUAAUCACAGCGCCCCUGACGGUACCUCCUUAGCAAGCACCGGCUAACCCUGUGCCAGCAGCCGCGGUAAUACAGGGGGUGCAAACGUUGCUCGGAAUUAUUGGGCGUAAAGCGCGCGUAGGCGGUUGCUUAAGUCGGAUGUGAAAGCCCUUGGCUUAACCGAGGAAGUGCAUCCGAAACUGAGCAGCUAGAGUACGAAAGAGGGUCGCGGAAUUCCCGGUGUAGAGGUGAAAUUCGUAGAUAUCGGGAGGAACACCGGUGGCGAAGGCGGCGACCUGGGUCGAGACUGACGCUGAGGCGCGAAAGCGUGGGGAGCAAAC
rnacentral:rRNA from 1 species